UACGGGGGGAGCAAGCGUUGUUCGGAUUUACUGGGCGUAAAGGGCGCGUAGGCGGCACCGCAAGUCGACUGUGAAAUCUCCGGGCUUAACCCGGAAAGGUCAGCCGAUACUGCGGGGCUAGAGUGCAGAAGGGGCAACUGGAAUUCUUGGUGUAGCGGUGAAAUGCGUAGAUAUCAAGAGGAACACCUGCGGCGAAGGCGGGUUGCUGGGCUGACACUGACGCUGAUGCGCGAAAGCUAGGGGAGCGAACGGG
rnacentral:rRNA from 1 species